UACGUAGGGGGCAAGCGUUAUCCGGAAUUACUGGGUGUAAAGGGAGCGUAGACGGCAAUGCAAGUCCGGAGUGGAAUGCGGCAGCUCAACUGCCGAACUGCUCUGGAAACUGUAUGGCUUGAGUGCAGGAGGGGUAAGCGGAAUUCCUGGUGUAGCGGUGAAAUGCGUAGAUAUCAGGAGGAACACCAGUGGCGAAGGCGACUUACUGGACUGUAACUGACGCUGAGGUUCGAAAGCGUGGGUAGCAAACAGG
rnacentral:rRNA from 1 species